rnacentral:rRNA from 1 species
AUGGACAAUGUGUUCCCUGGAGUAGAGCAUAGGGAAUGCAUGCGUCACCUUGCUGCAAAUUUCAUGAAGAAAUUCAAAGGAAAGGUGUAUACCGACAAUUUAUGGCCAGCAUCUUUGACUUGCAGUGUGAAGAAGCACAACUACCACUUGAGGCAGUUAUACAUGAAUCCCAAAGUGAAAGAAUACUUGGAAACACACCACUCCAAGUUAUGGGCCAGAAGCCAAUUUAGUGAACUGAGCAAAGUUGACUAUGUGCACAAUAAUCUAGCAGAGUCUUUCAACUCAACGAUCCGGAAA